AGGACUAUAUUAUUAUACUUCUCUUCUUAAUGCAGCCAAGUGCCGGUGACAAGCCCGACAGAAUGCAGAGUCAAGAA
rnacentral:ribozyme from 1 species